GGUUAAGCGACUAAGCGUACACGGUGGAUGCCCUGGCAGUCAGAGGCGAUGAAGGACGUGCUAAUCUGCGAAAAGCGUCGGUAAGGUGAUAUGAACCGUUAUAACCGGCGAUGUCCGAAUGGGGAAACCCAGUGCAAUUCGUUGCACUAUCGUUAACUGAAUACAUAGGUUAACGAGGCGAACCGGGGGAACUGAAACAUCUAAGUACCCCGAGGAAAAGAAAUCAACCGAGAUUCCCCCAGUAGCGGCGAGCGAACGGGGAGCAGCCCAGAGUCUGAAUCAGCUUGUGUGUUAGUGGAACGGUCUGGAAAGUCCGACGGUACAGGGUGAUAGUCCCGUACACCAAAAUGCACAGGCUGUGAACUCGAAGAGUAGGGCGGGACACGUGGUAUCCUGUCUGAAUAUGGGGGGACCAUCCUCCAAGGCUAAAUACUCCUGACUGACCGAUAGUGAACCAGUACCGUGAGGGAAAGGCGAAAAGAACCCCGGCGAGGGGAGUGAAAAAGAACCUGAAACCGUGUACGUACAAGCAGUGGGAGCACCUUCGGGUGUGACUGCGUACCUUUUGUAUAAUGGGUCAGCGACUUAUAUUCUGUAGCAAGGUUAACCGUAUAGGGGAGCCGCAGGGAAACCGAGUCUUAACUGGGCGUUAAGUUGCAGGGUAUAGACCCGAAACCCGGUGAUCUAGCCAUGGGCAGGUUGAAGGUUGGGUAACACUAACUGGAGGACCGAACCGACUAAUGUUGAAAAAUUAGCGGAUGACUUGUGGCUGGGGGUGAAAGGCCAAUCAAACCGGGAGAUAGCUGGUUCUCCCCGAAAGCUAUUUAGGUAGCGCCUCGUGAACUCAUCUUCGGGGGUAGAGCACUGUUUCGGCUAGGGGGUCAUCCCGACUUACCAACCCGAUGCAAACUACGAAUACCGAAGAAUGUUAUCACGGGAGACACACGGCGGGUGCUAACGUCCGUCGUGAAGAGGGAAACAACCCAGACCGCCAGCUAAGGUCCCAAAGUCAUGGUUAAGUGGGAAACGAUGUGGGAAGGCACAGACAGCCAGGAUGUUGGCUUAGAAGCAGCCAUCAUUUAAAGAAAGCGUAAUAGCUCACUGGUCGAGUCGGCCUGCGCGGAAGAUGUAACGGGGCUAAACCAUGCACCGAAGCUGCGGCAGCGACACUAUGUGUUGUUGGGUAGGGGAGCGUUCUGUAAGCCUGCGAAGGUGUGCUGUGAGGCAUGCUGGAGGUAUCAGAAGUGCGAAUGCUGACAUAAGUAACGAUAAAGCGGGUGAAAAGCCCGCUCGCCGGAAGACCAAGGGUUCCUGUCCAACGUUAAUCGGGGCAGGGUGAGUCGACCCCUAAGGCGAGGCCGAAAGGCGUAGUCGAUGGGAAACAGGUUAAUAUUCCUGUACUUGGUGUUACUGCGAAGGGGGGACGGAGAAGGCUAUGUUAGCCGGGCGACGGUUGUCCCGGUUUAAGCAUGUAGGCUGGUUAUCCAGGCAAAUCCGGAUAAUCAAGGCUGAGGUGUGAUGACGAGGCACUACGGUGCUGAAGUAACAAAUGCCCUGCUUCCAGGAAAAGCCUCUAAGCAUCAGGUAACAUCAAAUCGUACCCCAAACCGACACAGGUGGUCAGGUAGAGAAUACCAAGGCGCUUGAGAGAACUCGGGUGAAGGAACUAGGCAAAAUGGUGCCGUAACUUCGGGAGAAGGCACGCUGGUGUGUAGGUGAAGUCCCUGCGGAUGGAGCUGAGACCAGUCGAAGAUACCAGCUGGCUGCAACUGUUUAUUAAAAACACAGCACUGUGCAAACACGAAAGUGGACGUAUACGGUGUGACGCCUGCCCGGUGCCGGAAGGUUAAUUGAUGGGGUUAUCCGUAAGGAGAAGCUCUUGAUCGAAGCCCCGGUAAACGGCGGCCGUAACUAUAACGGUCCUAAGGUAGCGAAAUUCCUUGUCGGGUAAGUUCCGACCUGCACGAAUGGCGUAAUGAUGGCCAGGCUGUCUCCACCCGAGACUCAGUGAAAUUGAACUCGCUGUGAAGAUGCAGUGUACCCGCGGCAAGACGGAAAGACCCCGUGAACCUUUACUAUAGCUUGACACUGAACAUUGAGCCUUGAUGUGUAGGAUAGGUGGGAGGCUUUGAAGCGUGGACGCCAGUCUGCGUGGAGCCAACCUUGAAAUACCACCCUUUAAUGUUUGAUGUUCUAACGUUGGCCCCUUACCGGGGUUGCGGACAGUGUCUGGUGGGUAGUUUGACUGGGGCGGUCUCCUCCCAAAGCGUAACGGAGGAGCACGAAGGUUAGCUAAUCCUGGUCGGACAUCAGGAGGUUAGUGCAAUGGCAUAAGCUAGCUUGACUGCGAGCGUGACGGCGCGAGCAGGUGCGAAAGCAGGUCAUAGUGAUCCGGUGGUUCUGAAUGGAAGGGCCAUCGCUCAACGGAUAAAAGGUACUCCGGGGAUAACAGGCUGAUACCGCCCAAGAGUUCAUAUCGACGGCGGUGUUUGGCACCUCGAUGUCGGCUCAUCACAUCCUGGGGCUGAAGUAGGUCCCAAGGGUAUGGCUGUUCGCCAUUUAAAGUGGUACGCGAGCUGGGUUUAGAACGUCGUGAGACAGUUCGGUCCCUAUCUGCCGUGGGCGCUGGAGAAUUGAGGGGGGCUGCUCCUAGUACGAGAGGACCGGAGUGGACGCAUCACUGGUGUUCGGGUUGUCAUGCCAAUGGCACUGCCCGGUAGCUAAAUGCGGAAGAGAUAAGUGCUGAAAGCAUCUAAGCACGAAACUUGCCCCGAGAUGAGUUCUCCCUGAGACUUUAAGUCUCCUGAAGGAACGUUGAAGACGACGACGUUGAUAGGCCGGGUGUGUAAGCGCAGCGAUGCGUUGAGCUAACCGGUACUAAUGAACCGUGAGGCUUAACCUU
rnacentral:rRNA from 1 species